UGCUAAUUUAAUGUUAGAAAAUAUACUAAAAACAAAUCGAAAUGCUUAUAUUAGACCCGUUCGAUUAGUCCUUUUGUUCGAGUUUUGGAAGCAAAUAAAGAUCUUGUAAUCUUGAUCCGACGAAUUAUCUUAUAAACCCGAACAAAGGAAAUACAUGUGUGUUCUCGAUUUUUUUUUCUUUUAGGGUUUUACUUAGGUGUCCAUCGAACGAGAUAUCAAACUCUCGCACACGUAGGUUUUUACCCUUACUCUGCUUUUCUCUCCUCCUCCUUCGUCCCGCGUGCCCCGGCGAGGUUCAGGCGAAGCAUCCACGACCUUCCUCCUCCCCAAAGGUCAGAUCAGAUCAGAGCCAACCCCCCUCCUCCGCGCUACAGGUUCUAGCCAUACAGUGGAAUUUGCCUUCCUUUCCCUCAAUUUCGUAUCUCAUGUUUGCAAUUCCAUUACAGGAACCGAUGUGAAGAUUCCUCCUUCAGGUUUGCGCAAUCUCCGCUUACAGGAACUGGAUGCUCCUUCACCAGUUUGGUGGUGGGAUUAUCUCCUACGGAGGACCUCUUCCCAUUUCAGCAUUUCAGGAGCAUGGGUGAAGGACUAAAAUAUUUUGAGGUAGGGCGAAUUUGUAUAACAGACAUAUAACAUUCAAUGUUAUUUCAUUCAAAAAUCCAUUUUAAUGUGUUUGUUUGUAUUUUUGUAAUAAUUCUUAUAAUGUUGUUUUUAAACAAUUAAUAUUUCAGUACAUAGAUUUGUUUUGUUUU